GACGAACGCUGGCGGCGUGCUUAACACAUGCAAGUCGAACGGCAAGGCCCUGCUUUUGUGGGGUGCUCGAGUGGCGAACGGGUGAGUAACACGUGAGUAACCUGCCCUUGACUUUGGGAUAACUUCAGGAAACUGGGGCUAAUACCGGAUAGGAGCUCCUGCUGCAUGGUGGGGGUUGGAAAGUUUCGGCGGUUGGGGAUGGACUCGCGGCUUAUCAGCUUGUUGGUGGGGGAGUGGCUUACCAAGGCUUUGACGGGUAGCCGGCCUGAGAGGGUGACCGGCCACAUUGGGACUGAGAUACGGCGCAGACUCCUACGGGAGGCAGCAGUGGGGAAUAUUGCACAAUGGGCGGAAGCCUGAUGCAGCAACGCCGCGUGCGGGAUGACGGCCUUCGGGUUGUAAACCGCUUUCGCCUGUGACGAAGCGUGAGUGACGGUAAUGGGUAAAGAAGCACCGGCUAACUACGUG
rnacentral:rRNA from 1 species